GCUCUCUGACCUUGCUUUGAACCCCAAGAAAACAUCUUUUCUCUAUCAGAAUCCCUGCCUUCUCUUUGGUUGCACUUGGAGGCAGUGAUCAGAUGAUCUGCACUUUCAUUUGUGGGAUCAUUCUUCACAUCCGGUCUCCUAGGAAGGAACUGGCCCUCUUUGGAUUGAAGGUAAGAAGCUGACAUCAUAAGAACCCAUUUUGUGGCUGGAGAGAC